rnacentral:rRNA from 1 species
UGAGGAAUAUUGGUCAAUGGGCGGAAGCCUGAACCAGCCAUCCCGCGUGAAGGAAGAAGGCCUUAUGGGUUGUAAACUUCUUUUCUGUUUGAAGAAUAAGCUUGUCGUGGCAAGUGAUGCCGGUAGGACAGGAAUAAGCAUCGGCUAACUCCGUGCCAGCGGCCGCGGUAAUACGGAGGAUGCAAGCGUUAUCCGGAUUUAUUGGGUUUAAAGGGUGCGCAGGUGGUUUAAUAAGUCAGUGGUGAAAGUCUGCCGCUUAACGGUGGGAUUGCCAUUGAUACUGUUGGACUUGAAUAUGGAUGAGGUAGGCGGAAUGUGUAGUGUAGCGGUGAAAUGCUUAGAUAUUACACAGAACACCGAUUGCGAAGGCAGCUUACUAAUCCAUGAUUGACGCUGAGGCACGAAAGCGUGGGGAUCAAACAG